rnacentral:rRNA from 1 species
GUGAAAUUGUUGAAAGGGAAACGAUUAAAGUCAGUCGUACCUACGAGUGAUCAACCUACUCGAGUGCGAUUUUGUGGGUAUGUUUGAGCUUAAAAACCUUCAUGCUUACAAAUUGGUGCUCUUUGGGCGUACUUUCUCGUAUGGUAGGUUAACAUCAAUUUCGAUCGUUAUAAAAUGACUGGAGGAAUGUAGCUUCGACCUCGGUUGAAGUGUUAUAGCCUUUGGUAGAUGUAAUGAUUGGGAUUGAGGAUUGCAACGGAUACCCUCUGGGCUACCUGUCUGAUCUCUGAUCGUUGCUUUGGUGCUGAAAGCGUGCUUAUAGUUAUCAAAGUCGAUGGUUAAUAGGUUAGAAUGGGUUAAAUUCGUUAAGGAUGUUGACGUAAUGGCUUUAAACGAC